UUCGAGAGACUAUUCCAUGGCCUGCCUCCCCUCCUGGACUGCAAACCUUCUAGGGUCGGCCCUGUGCUUUCCCCACCAACAGUGCAGCAGCUGGAUGAGGGAGUACUCUUGAACUAGGAGGAACAGAACACAAGCUACACAGCCAGCAGGACCUAGCACAGGGCCAGGAACGCUAAGGUCCAGGUGAAGCACUUUCUUCUCAUGAAGCUGAAACUGUCCAUUCAGCCCAGAAGAAAGGACUAGAAAUGAGAGGGCCCAUCUGGACACCCAUGCAAAGGCAGCCCCAGCAAUUAUCCUCCUGUUGGCUUCCACCUUCCCUCAGCUGAAGAGAAAUCUUUCUUCUCCACCCAGUCACCAAACUGGCCUUUCAGGCUCUGUGGCUCACUCUGGAGAGAGUGGUGGAGGCUGUGGUGCCUGCAGGUCUCUGUUCCUCCCCUCUUCCCUCAGCUUGGUUUGUUUGUUCCAUUUGAAUCUCUCCUCUGUUCCCCCGCCCAGCAGGUUUGUGGUCAGGUGACCGAGUUGCAAACCCCUGCAGCCUCUGCUCUCUGCAUCCCCUCGGUCCUCCCCACCCCCACAGCAUCCCGGAGCAGAAUCCCCCGAAAAGACCCUGAUAUCUGUGCCUCUGAUACCCUACCUGACCAGGAAACACAGACUCCAGCCAGCUUCCUGACAGAACUCCCUCUGCUCAGGGCUGGUGCCAAAAGGUUCAGCUGGUCGUGCUCGACCCCAGCACCAGAUAAAUCAGGGGUCCAAUAUCUGAAGCUCCAUUCGGCCUCUGUAUCACUGCAUUCGGGCCAUUUUACUAUGAGUAAGCCAGACAUUUGAACGCCCAGGUCUACUAGCUACAGCCCAAUCAGAAUAGGAAGAAAGAAGGAAGAAUUGGAGAAGCCAGAAAAGGAGGGCCUCAUGGAUGGUCAGGCAGAACCUGAAGCCCUGCCGGGCUCUCCAGCAAAUGGGUAACUCAGCAAUUCUUCCUGCCUGGAGGUGGGUGAGGUAACCUCCCUGUGUGCCAAAGGCAGGAGAGGAAGUUCUUGCUAUGUAGCUCUGGAUGACCUCAAACUCAGGAUCCUCCUGCCUCAACUGAAGAGUUGCUGGGAUAACGAGAUUGUGCCACCCUCAUGCACAGCCUGACUCUUGCUUUUGAAGGCUCAACAUAACUUUCUACCGGCUUUGGGGAUUGGGUCAUUUUCAAGAGCGACCAUUUCAAGCUUGACUCCCAUGGAAAGUCAAGUUGUACCACAUCCCAUUUCUGAGUAUAUUAGCAAUCACUGUCUCUGGGAUAGUCCACCGCCAGCAUGGUCCAUCCUCAGUGGGAGGGAGGUAUGUGACAUGACCAUUGGAACCCCGAGGGAGCUGCAGAAUGCGUCUGGGAGAUUUGUAGUUCUAGAACUACAUGUGGUCCUUGUCUUUAAUGUCUGCCUCACUUCUCACCCACCGCAACAUCCUCCAGUUGCGUCCAUUUUGCUGCAAAUACCUGGGUUCCAUUCUUCUUUAAGGUUGACUAAUACUGGGAUCUGUCCGUACCACUUCUCCUUCUGAUCAUGGACACCUAGGAGGAUUGCAGCUAACCUGUGAGCCCUUUGAGCCAUGAGAUCCCUUACUUGAUUAAGCUUAUUCCAUGUUCAUUGUUUAUCGACUUAAACUCUUGAAGCUUAUGGACCGCGUCAUCUGCCUGCAUCAUACCCUGGGCUAAUGAAUUCUUUCUUUACAAUUUUAAAUGUAACAGUCCGUAGUCAGCCUUCUUCUAGACCCAAGGCUGCCCCUCUUGUCUGCCUGGCUGAUUCUCAUCCAAAUGCAUCUAAAUGUCACCCGUCUGGUCUCCUUCAAUGUGACUCUUUGUGUCAAUAAGAUGUCAAAGCAGCCCCCUAUUGUGGCGUUUGAGUGAGCCUCUGGUUAUUAGACGCUCAUGUCAGAUUCAGUGAUUUGUUGAGAACCAGCUGGGCAUCGAGUUUUAAUAAAACCCCUUCUAUUCUCCGGGUUCCCUGAGUUAAUCAGAAGGGAGCGUUCCAACAGGGCUAUUCUUUCUCAGGAAGGCCUGGGCCGCUCCUCCAGAGUGCGGGAGGCACAAGAGGGAAGCGUUUGUGUUGGUGAAUGUUCACCUAGCUCCAUUCACUAUUAUGUCCCAUUUGCACCAGAACUAGGCAUCACAUUCCUGCCUCAGACACAGGACACAUUCCCGCCUUUCCAGAGCUGCAGUUCCCGAGCAUACUGGGGCAGAGGGCCCAGGGCUUCCGAGUGUCAACUGAGACAUAUUUCUUUUGCUCAGUCUAGAAGGCACACUCUGGGAUAUGGUGUCUUCUGCUAAGACCUGGGUGGAGCUGAAGAUGAAGGAAGUGCUGAGUCAUUGUUUUGCCUCUGGGCAGGGUCCUGGGCUACCUUUCAGUCAUCUGAGAUGACCCUCCCCCCACCAGUCAGGGGCUGAUGAUCGAGAUGGACAUCUCCACCUACCAAUCAGGGACCAAUAAUGUCUAGCUGGACAGCUCUAUCUGCCAGUCAGGGGCUGAUAAUGUCUAGAUGGACAUCUCUACCUGCCACUCAUAGGUUGAUGAUGUCUAGAUGACACCCCAGGCAAUGAUAGAGUCUCCAGUGACACCUGACUUUAGAAAGAUCCAAAGGUAAGCUCUAGACUUGAAAUAUGGUGUGUACGGUGUGUGUGUGUGUGUGUGUGUGUGUGUG